AACGCACGAGACCUGCGGACCUGCGGAAGGAUCAUUAGUGAACGCCCUCACGGGCUUAUAACUAUUCCAAACCUCUGUGAACCGUGCCCUCCGGGGCUAUUUUACAAACAUGGUGUAAUGAACGUCAUAUAUCAUAACAAAACAAAACUUUUAACAACGGAUCUCU
rnacentral:misc_RNA from 1 species